rnacentral:rRNA from 1 species
ACAGAGGGUGCAAGCGUUAAUCGGAAUUACUGGGCGUAAAGCGUGCGUAGACGGUAGCGUAAGUCGGGUGUGAAAGCCCCGGGCUCAACCUGGGAACUGCAUCCGAUACUGGUGGACUAGAGUGCGGUAGAGGAUGGCGGAAUUCCCGGUGUAGCGGUGAAAUGCGUAGAGAUCGGGAGGAACAUCCGUGGCGAAGGCGGCCAUCUGGACCAGCACUGACGUUGAGGCACGAAAGCGUGGGGAGCAAACAGGA